AUUCCUUUCCUAUGAUGCAUGCAUUGUGGAUGUGGACUUUGUGGGGCUAACUUGUUGCUCACACAGCAAUGAGGAACUCCCAACACAAAGUAAACGUGGGAUUAUAAAUGCGUAUGUUUGUAGAACUGCUACAGUCUUCCCUAGGAAAAAUUCCUCUUGAAUUCUUCUCCUUAGGCCAUGUCAGCACUUGUGCAAAGCACACCUGGGGCAUUGUAAGGGUCAGUAAUGUUAAAUUUAUGAAGUUUUGCAAUAUAUUGUUCAAUUUCCAUGCAUUUAAAGUGCUUGCUCAAAAAUAGAACACAAGAUACUGAAUUGCUGCAGCUAUAUUUACCAAAAAUAUUGUUCUAAUUUGUCUCUAGGAUUAGGCAAUGCAGAAUGAAAUGAAUUGCAAUGUAGUACAAAGGCCAAAAGCUAAAGCAAAACAACCCCUGCACUUUUUUGGAUUAGAUGUUAAAAUUCCACAUGUAGCACUUGUCAGCACUCCCAUGACUUUGUUUCACAUACCAAAAAUUGUCAGCACAACAAUAUGCUAAUACAAGCAGUGGCUCAAUAUACUGUUAUUAGUAUCAACAUGCUGUGUUGAAAUUGUGAUGACUCUUUCUCAGAGAUUACACUGAUAAAUUUAUUCUGUCCCAAGUCUGCCCUCAAUUUGUUUGAGCGUUAUUUAUUUUUGUACCACUGAUGAUCAUUCAGUAUUCAUAAACCAAUCCAAUACGUCUAGCCAUCAGACAAACCAGCAGCAGGGGUUUAAUGUGCUCGGGAGACGGAGUGUGCUGCUGGAAGUUUGUUACUGCAUUAAACGGAUGAGUAACUGUUUCCCUGGUGCAACUUGUAUAGACAAAUUUAUAUUUGAAGCACAUUUUGAGCUUGAUUACUCUUUAUUUUGCCAUAAAAUUGAUUUAAGGAUGUGAUUCAUGCCCAGUGGUGUGAUUCAUUCUGAGGUUAUUUGCUUGCAAUAGAAACAAAAACACAGGCAGGUUAAGUUUGUGCCAUGUGCGCACCCUGUAUAAUGUCAAAUAACAGUUCCACAGGAACUCUGACUUUCUCAGGAUGGUUCCAAGGACAACAAAUCUGUCUGAAGGAGUGGUCACUGAAAAUAAGAAGGUAUCCAGCUCUUCACUGAUACAAUAAAAACCAGCAUUUUUGUCGAGAUGCAACUUGAUGUCAUCCGGCCUCUCUCCCUUGGCAUCCUGACUAAUGCUGUCUAUCAACUGAGUGAGUAGAUAAAACAUCGCUGAUGCUUUUUGAAAAAACAAUUAUUUAAGAUUGCAGAUUUUGCUUUGAUGUUUUCAUUUGGGUUUGGUUGUGAGCCAGGUGGGAACAGAGUGAAUGACGGUGUGCCAGAUGCAAAGAAAAACAAAGCCCAGGCAUGACUUCUCAAUGAACAGGCUCUUUCAUAACUACGCGAAGAGUCUGGCCUCAAGUACAAACUGUCUUACCAUAUAAGGGCCCAUUCUCCUGGCAUAUCAUACUCUUUACAAAAUCAUACAUGCACUCCUUGCGGACAGAAAAUAGAUUUUCUAUCAAGCAUUGGAUUAAAAAGUGACCCUCUAAGCCAUAUUUUGUGGCUUAGGUCUACACCAUUCUCAGGGGAUUUAUAACCGCAUGAUACUAUUCAAAGUAUUAAAUCAGUAAGGAUUGUUUGUGGAUAUUCCUUUGAUGUAAUUGCAGAAAUUACUGACAGAAAAGGGCUGAUUGCUCCUUUAAUCUGUGAUGCAAGUAGCUGCAGCACACUAGGCUUGAUUGACUGUUUUUUAUAUCCAUUUGCUGGCUCAGGAGGAAACAUGGCAAUAGCUUUCAUGCUAUUAAAGCUCAGCUCUCCAUCACCAUGACAUAUUUUUAAUUACAUCCCCAUUAGUGUGGACUGUAACAUAAAGGCUCAUAAAGUACAUAAUGAAUAAUGUGAAAAAAGAUAUGUGAUUCUUCAAUAUAUGACUGAAGAUGUACUGUAUUGCAUGUGUGAUAGUGGUUGUUCAUAUGGUAUUAAUAUAUUGAUGUUGCAGAGAAAGGGGAAAAUAAGGCCUGAAUGAGAGCAUUAGGUCCUGAUGAAAAGGUAUUCCAGAGAUUGGCAUGGAUGAAAUCAUACUUAAUCCAAAAAGUCUGCAAAUAUCCUGCUUAAUCCUUACACACUCGUCACAACUACGUUCAGUAGGUGGGGGGAACAAUGUGACUGCAUUCCUCUUUUGUUCAGGUCUUUCUGCAUGAAGCUCAAGAAUGAACUAUCCAAGUGAUUCUUUGCUGUGGAUGUUUUGUUCACUUGCAUCAAAGCAGGAACUCCUAAAGAGUGAGCUCCUUCAGAGCGCACCAGCUGAAAACCAAUAUUUGAUUAAAGCCGAAUCCUCAAGGUCAAAAAAACAGCCUCUUUUCCUUUUUUUUCCUGAAGCUUUUCUUUAUCUUUUUUUUUAUAAACAAUACUGCUGUUUCAUGCUUUUCUUUUCAACCUUCCAGUUGAUAUCCUCACUCUCUGAUUUACCCUCUGUGUACUGUAAAAUGCACACACACGCUUACCAGUCAGCCCAGAUUCUGGGUGUAACGUUGACUUGAAAAUGACCUCACUCUCGGGGUUAACCAAUGUCAUCUAAUGAUCAGAGAAGCGGUCCCCUAGAGUGAAUUACCUCAAACAUGACUUUUCCUUGACCUACUUUUUUCCUCUGUGAGGAAAGUAGAGCCGACUAUUAAGGGAGGAAGUGACUCUGAAUAAAUAGGAGCCUAUACAGUGCAGCCAUUGUGCUUUGUUCACACGUUAGUUGGUGAACCAUUCAUGCUGUUAAACAUUAACCUUUCCCCUGCCAAAACAAAACUGGAGUGUGGGAGUGUGCAUGCAGAGAACCAUGUGCACAGUGUUACAUUAAUGUACAUAAACACUGAGCAGCUAUAUUAGUAAUACAGCUACUGCUAGUGAUAAUAACAAAAACUAUAAGAGUAUUAAAAAAGUAAUAUAAAUAUCAACAUACACAGAAGGCUGCACAAAUGCACACAGGACAGUGGAUAUAGUACAUCACCAAAUGUACACACAACCAAGCCCCCAGGCUCACAGCCUAUGCAUGCACACACACACACUUUCACACUUAUGUGCACAAAUAGCCAGAUUCAUUAAUAAAUGUUAGAUGCCCUCAAGCAAAGAUUAGCUAAUGAGAGCGGCCCCUUUGUCCAGACUGCUACAUGUUUCUCGUAUAAAAGCAAUGGGAGGAAUGGAAACUAUUCACUCUGGCUUCUGUUAGGCUCACUAAAUCCAUCUUUCUUCACAUGAUAUCAUUGCAGUGUCUCACUACAUGUGUCUUAGCUUUGGAGUUUAUCUGGUGGUCAUACUGCAUGAUAUAGUAGACAUAACUUUGGCUUUACUCAGGAACAUUUAGGCCAUGCUGCUGAUGGCGAUUAUAUUCUCUGAAUUGCUUCUGACUAAAACUUUAAACAAAAAAUAUAUGAAUUCCCAGAUGAAAUCAGAUUGGUAUGGAUUACACUGCCACAGGCUUAUGUUUGCUCAGUAAGUUUGCCAAAUUAUGAUUUUCACACAUUAUGGACUAAAGAUUGGUCCAGUACUACACCAUGUUCUCCCAGUAGCCUUAUGCAUCACGGUUAACCAUUUACGACAGCUAUUUCCUGUCUGGCAAUCGACAGCCAAGUCACUGCGACACUUAAUCCAAAUUGUUUUUAAUUUUCAGCCCUGUUACCUGCUGAUCAAAAUGAAUGCAAGCCCCCGAGGAACAGAGUGGAAGCAGCUUUGUCCAGGUGAUGAAACUGUACCUAACAAAGAAUUCCCUUUUUUUUUAAUGCAAGUGUUUCAGGUUCGAUGCAAUCACUCCAACAUCUGUUGCUUAUUAAGACGGUGCAGUGGUUACUACAGGUGCAGUAAAUUCCCGACCCUGCUUAGGAUAUUUAUUGCUUUUGGGUUUACAGUCGGUUGGGCAAAAAAAGGGCUGAAACACGCCAUGGGAAUCUUUCAUACCAUUAAAAAAUAAUUUGGCUACGUGGGACCUUUCUGUGGUGAUUUAAUCUGCCAGGCAUAUGCUCCUGUGUGUCAGGCUGACGAGGAAGCAUAACAGGUUUGACACCCAAAUUCCCUGCAGAGGUGGUUGAAAUAAGGGAAGAGAGCUAGCAGGACUUUAUAUUAUAGAUAUAAUAUGACUCACUAAGUUACACUUCUUACUAACUGAAUUUGUAUGUAUGUUGAAAUACAUAAAGUAUAUCAACAUCAUCUCAAUUUCCACUCUAUAAAGGAUCAUUUAUUCAGUGCAGGUACUUAGUGUGAUCCAUUGUGAGCUGAUAUCUUUAUCAUAUGCAUGUACUCUGUUUGACAGUUUGUACAUCUGUAUACCAUAUAUGUGCACACUGCAUGUAUUAGAAUAAAUAUUUUAAAAUCCAGUAUCUUUAAAAAUCCAGUACAGUUGAUUGACAGCUAGAGCAAAGCUCUUCCACACAUGGCAGGCCCAGAGAUUAGAAACUAUCUCAUGGCAGAAAUGUCAUAGAUAAUAUUGACUGGUGUGUCCAUCAAUAGCUGCAAACACACCAUGGGAAUCCCCCCCCC